rnacentral:rRNA from 1 species
UGGGGAAUAUUAGUCAAUGGGGGAAACCCUGAACUAGCAACGCCGCGUGAAGGAUGAAGGUUUUCGGAUUGUAAACUUCUUUUGUCGGGGACGAUAAUGACGGUACCCGAAGAAUAAGCCACGGCUAACUACGUGCCAGCAGCCGCGGUAAUACGUAGGUGGCGAGCGUUGUCCGGAUUUACUGGGUGUAAAGGGCGAGUAGGCGGGAUCGCAAGUCAGGUGUGAAAUCUAUGGGCUUAACCCAUAAACUGCACUUGAAACUGUGAUUCUUGAGUGAUGGAGAGGCAGGCGGAAUUCCCGGUGUAGCGGUGAAAUGCAUAGAGAUCGGGAGGAACACCAGUGGCGAAGGCGGCCUGCUGGACAUUAACUGACGCUGAGGCGCGAAAGUGUGGGGAGCAAACA